AUAUGAAUCCCCAGGCAUCUUGUUAAAAUGCAGAUUCUGAUUGAGCAGGUCUGGGAUGGGGCCUGAACUUCUGCAUUUUUAACAAGCUCCCAGGUGAUGCCCUU
rnacentral:pre_miRNA from 1 species